AGACAUUGACGGUACCGAAAAAGCAAGCCACGGCUAACUACGUGCCAGCAGCCGCGGUAAUACGUAGGUGGCAAGCGUUGUCCGGAAUUAUUGGGCGUAAAGCGCGCGCAGGCGGUUUCUUAAGUCCAUCUUAAAAGCGUGGGGCUCAACCCCAUGAGGGGAUGGAAACUGGGAAGCUGGAGUAUCGGAGAGGAAAGUGGAAUUCCUAGUGUAGCGGUGAAAUGCGUAGAGAUUAGGAAGAACACCGGUGGCGAAGGCGACUUUCUAGACGAAAACUGACGCUGAGGCGCGAAAGCGUGGGGAGCAAACAGGAUUAGAUACCCUGGUAGUCCACGCCGUAAACGAUGGAUACUAGGUGUAGGAGGUAUCGACCCCUCCUGUGCCGGAGUUAACGCAAUAAGUAUCCCGCCUGGGGAAGUACGAUCGCCAGAUUAAACUCAAAGGAAUUGACGGGGGGCCCGCACCAGCGGUGGAGUAUGUGGGUUUAAUUCGACGC
rnacentral:rRNA from 1 species